rnacentral:rRNA from 1 species
GACGAACGCUGGCGGCGUGCUUAACACAUGCAAGUCGAACGGUAAGGCCCUUCGGGGUACACGAGUGGCGAACGGGUGAGUAACACGUGGGUGAUCUGCCCUGCACUUCGGGAUAAGCCUGGGAAACUGGGUCUAAUACCGGAUAGGACUCCUGGCUUCAUGGUUGGGGGUGUAAAGCUUUUGCGGUGUGGGAUGGGCCCGCGGCCUAUCAGCUUGUUGGUGGGGUAAUGGCCUACCAAGGCGACGACGGGUAGCCGGCCUGAGAGGGUGACCGGCCACACUGGGACUGAGAUACGGCCCAGACUCCUACGGAGGCAGCAUGGGGAAUAUUGCACAAUGGGCGCAAGCCUGAUGGCAAGCGACGCCGCGUGAGGGAUGACGGCUUC